CUGGUAUGUACUGGUGUUAUUGGUUUCUCCUUUCUGAGGAGCCAUGAUGUCAUUAAUUUGGUGUCGUGGGGAAUCAGGACUGUUACUUUGAAAAAAUUAGAGUGUUUAAAGCAGGCACGCGCUUGAAUACAUUAGCAUGGAAUAAUGGAAUAGGACGUUCGAUUCUAUUUUGUUGGUUUCUAGGAUCAACGUAAUGAUUAAUAGGGAUAGUUGGGGGCAUUAGUAUUCAAUUGUCAGAGGUGAAAUUCUUGGAUUUAUUGAAGACUAACUACUGCGAAGGCAUUCGCCAAGGAUGUUUUCAUUAAUCAAGAACGAAAGUUAGGGGAUCGAAGACGAUCAGAUACCGUCGUAGUCUUAACCAUAAACUAUGCCGACUAGGGAUCGGAUGAUGUUAAUUCUUUAAUGACUCAUUCGGCGCCUUACG
rnacentral:rRNA from 1 species